UUACGGUCAUAGCACAUUGAAACAUCAGUUUCCGUACGAUCGCCGAAGUUAAGCAACUUUGAGCCUGGUCAACACCUAGAUGGGUGACCACUUGGGAAUAAUUGGAG
rnacentral:rRNA from 1 species